CCUACGGGAGGCAGCAGUGAGGAAUAUUGGUCAAUGGACGAGAGUCUGAACCAGCCAAGUAGCGUGAAGGAUGACGGCCCUAUGGGUUGUAAACUUCUUUUAUAAGGGAAUAAAACGAGGCACGUGUGCCUUUUUGCAUGUACUUUAUGAAUAAGGAUCGGCUAACUCCGUGCCAGCAGCCGCGGUACUACGGAGGAUCCGAGCGUUAUCCGGAUUUAUUGGGUGUAAAGGGAGCGUAGAUGGGUUGUUAAGUCAGGUGUGAAAGUUUGGGGCUCAACCGUAGAAGUGCAAUUGAUACUGGCAGUCUGGAGUACAGUUGAGGUAGGCGGAAUUCGUGGUGUAGCGGUGAAAUGCUUAGAUAUCACGAAGAACCCCGAUUGCGAAGGCAGCUUACUAAACUGUGACUGACAUUGAUGCUCGAAAGUGUGGGUAUCAAACAGGAUUAGAUACCCGUGUAGUC
rnacentral:rRNA from 1 species